AUUGAACGCUGGCGGCAUGCCUUACACAUGCAAGUCGAACGGCAGCGGGGGAGAAGCUUGCUUUUCCUGCCGGCGAGUGGCGAACGGGUGAGUAAUACAUCGGAACGUGCCCUGUAGUGGGGGAUAACUAGUCGAAAGAUUAGCUAAUACCGCAUACGAUCUGAGGGUGCAAGUUGGGGACUGCAAGGCCUCAUGCUACACGUUCGGCCGAGGUCUGAUUAGCUAGUUGGUGGGGUAAAGGCCUACCAAGGCGACGAUCAGUAGCUGGUCUGAGAGGACGAUCAGCCACACUGGGACUGAGACACGGCCCAGACUCCUACGGGAGGCAGCAGUGGGGAAUUUUGGACAAUGGGCGAAAGCCUGAUCCAGCAAUGCCGCGUGUGUGAAGAAGGCCUUCGGGUUGUAAAGCACUUUUGUCCGGAAAGAAAUGGCUCUGGUUAAUACCUGGGGUCGAUGACGGUACCGGAAGAAUAAGGACCGGCUAACUACGUGCCAGCCGCCGCGGUAA
rnacentral:rRNA from 1 species